UGUGGCACAAACAGUUUGCUCUUGGCUGUUAACCAAAAUGUCGGUGGUUCAAAUCCAUCCA
rnacentral:tRNA from 1 species